UACGGAGGGUGCAAGCGUUGUUCGGAAUUACUGGGCGUAAAGCGCGUGUAGGCGGCCGAUUAAGUCUGGUGUGAAAGCCCGGGGCUCACCCCCGGAAGUGCGCUGGAAACUGGUCGGCUAGAGUAUGGGAGAGGAAAGUGGAAUUCCCGGUGUAGCGGUGAAAUGCGUAGAUAUCAGGAGGAACACCGGUGGCGAAGGCGGGUCUCUGGGCCGAUACUGACGCUGAGGAGCGAAAGCGUGGGGAGCGAACAGG
rnacentral:rRNA from 1 species